CCUACGGGUGGCAGCAGUGGGGAAUAUUGGACAAUGGGGGCAACCCUGAUCCAGCCAUGCCGCGUGUGUGAAGAAGGCCCUCGGGUUGUAAAGCACUUUCAGUGAGGAAGAACGCCUGGUGGUUAAUACCCAUCAGGAAAGACAUCACUCACAGAAGAAGCACCGGCUAACUCCGUGCCAGCAGCCGCGGGAAUACGGAGGGUGCGAGCGUUAAUCGGAAUUACUGGGCGUAAAGCGCGCGUAGGUGGCUUGAUAAGCCGGUUGUGAAAGCCCCGGGCUCAACCUGGGAACGGCAUCCGGAACUGUCAAGCUAGAGUGCAGGAGAGGAAGGUAGAAUUCCCGGUGUAGCGGUGAAAUGCGUAGAGAUCGGGAGGAAUACCAGUGGCGAAGGCGGCCUUCUGGACUGACACUGACACUGAGGUGCGAAAGCGUGGGUAGCAAACAGGAUUAGAUACCCCGGUAGUC
rnacentral:rRNA from 1 species